rnacentral:lncRNA from 1 species
AAAUGCCCAGCUCGCCCUUUCCAUCCACAUUCCUCUGCUCAUUCAACAGAACCAUCUGGUGUGUGCCUACCAUGUGCUGAGGACUUAGAAGCAACACCUCAGUCAUUUUCCUUGGGGAUCUCUCAGUCUGUCAGCUGUGGUGAUAGGGACAGGCAACCCAUAAGACAGGUGGGGAAGGGAGCACCGAAAGUCAAUGAAGAGAUGUGAUCUGGAGUGAUUUACUACCAGGCCAAGUGACAGUCACCCUAUUUUGCUAUUUUUUAAUUACCAUUUCGAAUUAAUAAUGUGUCUCUUCCCACGCAUCCCCCUCAGAGUGGGGCGUAAACACCUUUGUAUGUGACUGUGCAGAGCUUUGAAGCUCCCAGAACAGCAGCCCUCCUGCCUUGCCUUCUCCCCAGGUAAUGUGACCCAGGCCUGUCCUUGGCUGCAGCCACCAACCCCACCCGGAGCGGCUGUCUGAACUGCCUGGCCUGCCUGGGUCUCCACGAAGGCCAGGAUCAGGCAGAAGGCGAUGGAGGCACCUCCCGCCUUUGCUUCGUUAGUCCCAGGACGAGCGGGCCCGCGCGUACCCGGAGAGGGGCGGCGGCGCGGGUGGCCUGGCGGGUCCCGGGGCCUCGGUUCGCAUCGGAGUCCCCUCUGUGCUCGCCCUGCAGCCGCUGCCCGAGAGGUCUGAGUCGCCACCAGCUGUGUCCGCGGGGAUGUGGGGAGCGAGAUGGGAGGGGUCGCCCGCUAGUCGUCCCCGCCGGACACCGGGCACCGCGUAGCCUCAGAGAGCCGCCCGGACGCGGGGCCGCCCUGGGGAGCGGGUGAGGCCGAGGACCAGGGGGAAGGAGGAGCCCGUGGACGGCUGCAGCCCCAGAUAAGAAGCUACAGCAUCUGUCAAGAGCCGUAUGUAGCUUGAGAUGACUACCUGAAGAUGUAUCAUGGUAUCAGCUGGUUAGUUAAGAAGUCGUUUUCCAGCUUCAACUGGCAAGUAACAAGCCAAGCAAGAAUUUCAAUGGAAAAUUACAGAGAUACUAACAGGUUUGAGUACUUAUGAAUACAAAAUAAAUAAACGGAUUUAAAUUACUUUAUUAUUACAAUGCAGAAAUGAGGAAGUGUAAUAGCCAGCUAGUCUUGGAACAUGGCACUGUGAAUGAAAUGAUUAAUUGCAUAUUCAUCUGGUCUCAGAUACAGGACAUUCUCUUGCAUAGGUUAAAUGUAUUAAUGGUAGAGAAUUAUGCAAAAAAUACUCAUUUUCUCCAAUACCAGAACAUACAGGAAGCAAGUAAAGUGAGUGCCUUUUUACCAAUAGUACCAGUAGAUAAGAAGAUAAGAUACAGAUAAUAAAGCACAGAGCAUUGCACAGAUCUACACCAAUGGAUUGGAAUGGAAUGUAGGAUUCUCUUCUUGCUGUGGACACCAUCAAAAUGUGAGAUCACUUCUCUGCUCAAUAGGACAAUCAUACUGAUUCCUUAGGAAGACAUAUAGGAAUCAGUAGAGGGAGAUCCUACCCUGGAAUCGUUUGAUGUCCUUGGGUUAUCUUCCUCUACAAAAAGGGCUAGUUGAAAUAAUGACAUGUGGGAGAUCAGCACUCCAAGUCAAAAUUGCAAAACAGAAGAAAAUUCCAGAAUUAUAUCACUGUUAAGAUAGCAACAAAUAAAUAAUUUGCACCCUACAACCCAUGUGUGAAUUUAAUUCUGGAAAACCCAAUCUGAGACAGGGACAUCCAUCACCAUGUGAAAAAGCCUGGGAUAGUCUGCUGGAAGAAAAUGUAACUUGCAGAGAAUAGAACAGAUAAACCUUGCAGUGUACCCAGUUGGAUUUCAGAACAUUGAAGAGCAGCAGCUUUUAUGGGAAUAAGAGUGUCCCUUACAGAUGAGAAUCAUCACGGAGCAGAGAUGAGGCUAAACAGCUGAGGCUUCUCUAAAAAACAAAACAAACAAACAAACAAACAAAAGCAGUGCACUUCUCAGGUGAUUGGCAUCGGAUAGCAGAAGCAUCGGUGAGUCAGCUGAGGUACAUAGAAGAAAUGCCUACCUGAGCCAACCCAAAUUGCCAACCCACAAAAAUCUGAAACCAAAUAAAUUGUUUAAAACUACUAGGUUUGAGAGUAUUUUGUUACAAAGCAGGUUAACCAAGGCAAUUAAAUGUAAAAGGUAUACUAAAUGAAUAAUUUUAUAAACAUUAAGCCAUAAUGACAUCAAAUUGAUUUUGAAGUUCAUUAAUGCAUACAGUCCUCAAACUGCUUUAUUCAUUGUAUACUGUAAUGUUUCACAUUUAA